CUAGCUGUGUCUUAGAGCAACAUUAACGGGGUAUGAUAGAGGAAGUCGUUAGGCUUUAUAUGAUUUUAUUUAAAUAAAAAUUGUAUAAUUUCGCUGGGACGGACGCGGUUUGUCGUUGGCUAACAUAUUUUUUUUUUGUCCUUAGGUGAUACGUGUCGGCAAUGGAAUGGUGGAAGCGUUUUGGUUUGAGAAAUGAUUCACGUGUUGCCCUUUGGGCCUUGUCUCUUUGAAAGAGAGAGAGAGAGUUGAAGAUCGAUGGCGGAAGGCACGAUGAUCCCCAGCAACUGAAGAAGGGAAGCCAUAGCUUCAGGCAGAGGCUACUUCUCUGAACCCUUUCUUCGACGCCUAUCAUCAGGCAGAGGCUGAAUCCUAGACUCCAACAUCACGAGAUGUCUCUCCUCCGCCUCUUCGAGACUGUCUCCGAUGACUGCAUCACACUUGCCCUCAUCCAGGCGUAGAGGGAAAGAUUGUGGUUGAGCUGAUUUUGCUGGGCAAAUCUGGAUGCAGGGGCAAACAUUAUCUGAUUUUUUCUUAAUUGUUCUGUUCUUUUUUUUUGGUUUCGGGUAUGUGGAUUUGAUUUUGUGAUCGUUGUUCUGAUUGUGCAAGGAGGAGUCUCUUGCACAUAGAACAUAGAAACUACCUUUUUAUAUAGUUUGUAAUCAAAGAUUUACUCUACUUAUUUGUGCUUCACGUUUCAUUGUUGAGAU